rnacentral:rRNA from 1 species
UGAACGCUGGCGGCGUGCUUAACACAUGCAAGUCGUACGUGAACGCUUCUGCUUGCAGAAGUUAUUAAAGUGGCGCACGGGUGAGUAACGCGUGGGUAAUCUACCUCCGAAUUGGGGAUAACUCGCCGAAAGGCGGGCUAAUACCGGAGAUCAAUUCCGAAAACCAAGGUUUAUGGAAUUAAAGGCUGCACUCUUUAACGGGGCAGUUGUUUGGAGAUGAGCCCGCGUCCCAUUAGCUUGUUGGUGGGGUAAUGGCCUACCAAGGCUACGAUGGGUAGCUGGUCUGAGAGGAUGAUCAGCCACACUGGAACUGACACACGGUCCAGACUCCUACGGGAGGCAGCAGUGAGGAAUUUUGCGCAAUGGGGGAAACCCUGACGCAGCAACGCCGCGUGAGUGAUGAAGGCUUUCGGGUCGUAAAGCUCUGUCAAGUGGGAAGAACCGGUGAUAGGUUAAUAGCCUAUCACCCUGACGGUACCACUGAAGGAAGCACCGGCUAACUCC